rnacentral:lncRNA from 1 species
CUGGAGCUGAAAACUUUUGAGAGACUUAUUUCUUGAACUACCAGAAAGUUUCCAAGAAAGAGAUUUCUUAGAGAUCUGCCUCUUCACACAGUUCCAGCUUUGACACGGCACCAUCCACAAGGGAACACUAAGCUGUGUUUGAAGGAGCUGGGGUUACAGAGACAACGAAACAUAUCUCAGACUCACAUGCCAGGACUCUACAACCAAACACUUAAGACAUCUCCAACGUUCAUCUAACAGAUUGAAAUCCAUG